AUUGAACGCUGGCGGCAUGCUUUACACAUGCAAGUCGAACGGUAACAGGGAGCUUGCUCCGCUGACGAGUGGCGAACGGGUGAGUAAUGCGUCGGAACGUGCCGAGUAGUGGGGGAUAACGCAGCGAAAGUUGUGCUAAUACCGCAUACGUACUGAGGUAGAAAGUGGGGGACCUUCGGGCCUCACGCUAUUCGAGCGGCCGACGUCUGAUUAGCUAGUAGGUGAGGUAAAGGCUCACCUAGGCGACGAUCAGUAGCGGGUCUGAGAGGAUGAUCCGCCACACUGGGUCUGAGACACGGCCCAGACUCCUACGGGAGGCAGCAGUGGGGAAUUUUGGACAAUGGGCGAAAGCCUGAUCCAGCCAUGCUGCGUGUCUGAAGAAGGCCUUCGGGUUGUAAAGGACUUUUGUCGGGGAGGAAAUCCCCAGCGCUAAUACCGCUGGGGGAUGACAGUACCUGAAGAAUAAGCACCGGCUAACUACGUGCCAGCCGCCGCCGUAACAC
rnacentral:rRNA from 1 species